rnacentral:rRNA from 1 species
GACGAACGCUGGCGGCGUGCUUAACACAUGCAAGUCGAACGGAAAGGCCCUGCUUGCAGGGUACUCGAGUGGCGAACGGGUGAGUAACACGUGGGUGAUCUGCCCUGCACUUCGGGAUAAGCCUGGGAAACUGGGUCUAAUACCGGAUAGGAGCCAUUUUUAGUGUGAUGGUUGGAAAGUUUUUUCGGUGUAGGAUGAGCUCGCGGCCUAUCAGCUUGUUGGUGGGGUAAUGGCCUACCAAGGCGGCGACGGGUAGCCGGCCUGAGAGGGUGGACGGCCACAGUGGGACUGAGAUACGGCCCAGACUCCUACGGGAGGCAUCAGUGGGGAAUAUUGCACAAUGGGCGCAAGCCUGAUGCAGCGACGCCGCGUGGGGGAUGACGGCCUUCGGGUUGUAAACUCCUUUCGCUAGGGACGAAGCUUUUUGUGACGGUACCUAGAGAAGAAGCACCGGCUAACUACGUG